rnacentral:misc_RNA from 1 species
CAGAUGCAGAGGAAUGUAAGAAGAGGGGAUCUAUUGAGACUGCUAGAGCUAUUUAUGCUCAUGCACUAACUGUGUUUUUGACUAAGAAGAGUAUUUGGCUUAAAGCUGCACAGCUUGAGAAGAGUCAUGGGACUAGGGAGUCGCUUGACGCUUUGUUGCGCAAGGCGGUUACUUAUAGGCCACAAGCUGAAGUUCUGUGGCUUAUGGGUGCUAAAGAGAAGUGGCUUGCCGGCGAUGUGCCUGCUGCAAGGGCUAUUCUUCAAGAAGCUUAUGCUGCUAUACCAAACUCUGAGGAAAUUUGGCUUGCAGCGUUUAAGCUUGAAUUUGAGAAUCAUGAACCUGAAAGAGCAAGAAUGCUGCUUGCUAAGGCUAGAGAAAGAGGUGGUACAGAAAGAGGGUGGAUGAAGUCUGCCAUUGUUGAGAGAGAGUUGGGCAAUACUGAGGAGGAGAGGAGGUUAGUGGAUGAAGGUU